rnacentral:rRNA from 1 species
UACAGAGGUCUCAAGCGUUGUUCGGAUUCAUUGGGCGUAAAGGGUGCGUAGGUGGCGCCGUAAGUCAGGUGUGAAAUUUCGGAGCUUAACUCCGAAACUGCAUUUGAUACUGCGGUGCUUGAGGACUGGAGAGGAGACUGGAAUUUACGGUGUAGCAGUGAAAUGCGUAGAGAUCCGGAAGAACACCAGUGGCGAAGGCGGCCCGCUGGGCAGUGGCUGACGCUGAGGCGCGACAGCGUGGGGAGCAAACAGG